rnacentral:rRNA from 1 species
CCUACGGGAGGCAGCAGUGAGGAAUAUUGGUCAAUGGACGAGAGUCUGAACCAGCCAAGUAGCGUGAAGGAUGACUGCCCUAUGGGUUGUAAACUUCUUUUAUAUGGGAAUAAAACGUUCCACGUGUGGGAUUUUGUAUGUACCAUAUGAAUAAGGAUAGGCUAACUCCGUGCCAGCAGCCGCGGUAAUACGGAGGAGCCGAGCGUUAUCCGGAUUUAUUGGGUUUAAAGGGAGCGUAGGUGGAUUGUUAAGUCAGUUGUGAAAGUUUGCGGCUCAACCGUAAAAUUGCAGUUGAAACUGGAAGUCUUGAGUACAGUAGAGGUGAGCGGAAUUCGUGGUGUAGCGGUGAAAUGCUUAGAUAUCACGAAGAACUCCGGUUGCGAAGGCAGUUCACUGGACUGCAACUGACACUGAGGCUCGAAAGUGUGGGUAUCAAACAGGAUUAGAUACCCGAGUAGUC